rnacentral:rRNA from 1 species
GAUGAACGCUGGCGGCGUGCCUAAUACAUGCAAGUCGAGCGAACGGACGAGAAGCUUGCUUUUCUGAUGUUAGCGGCGGACGGGUGAGUAACACGUGGAUAACCUACCUAUAAGACUGGGAUAACUUCGGGAAACCGGAGCUAAUACCGGAUAAUAUUUUGAACCGCAUGGUUCAAAAGUGAAAGACGGUCUUGCUGUCACUUAUAGAUGGAUCCGCGCUGCAUUAGCUAGUUGGUAAGGUAACGGCUUACCAAGGCAACGAUGCAUAGCCGACCUGAGAGGGGGAGCGGCCACACUGGAACUGAACCACGGUCCAGACUCCUACGGGAGGCAGCAGUAGGGAAUCUUCCGCUAUGGGCGAGAGCCUGACGGAGCAACGCCGCGUGAGUGAUGAAGGUCUUCGGAUCGUAAAACUCUGUUAUUAGGGAAGAACAUAUGUGUAAGUAACUGUUCACAUCUUGACGGUACCUAAUCAGAAAGCCACGGCUAACUACGUG